GACGAACGCUGGCGGCGUGCUUAACACAUGCAAGUCGAACGGAAAGGCCCCUUUGGGGGUACUCGAGUGGCGCACGGGUGAGUAACACGUGAGUAACCUGCCCUUGACUUCGGGAUAACUUCAGGAAACUGGGGCUAAUACCGGAUAGGAAUCCUUGCUGCAUGGGGGGGGUUGGAAAGCUUCGGCGGUUUUGGCUGGACUCGCGGCGUAUCAGCUUGUUGGUGGGGUAGUGGCUUACCAAGGCGUUGUCGGGUAGCCGGCCUGAGAGGGCGACCGGCCACAUUGGGACUGAGAUGCGGCCCAGACUCCUACGGGAGGGAGCAGUGGGGAAGAUUGCACAAGGGGCGGAAGCCUGAUGCAGCAACGCCGCAUGCGGGAUGACGGCCUUAGGGUUGUAAACCGCUUUCAGCAGGGGCGAAGCUUGUGGUGACGGUACCUGCAGAAGAAGCACCGGCUAACUACGUG
rnacentral:rRNA from 1 species